AGCGAACGCUGGCGGCAGGCCUAACACAUGCAAGUCGAACGAAGUCUUCGGACUUAGUGGCGGACGGGUGAGUAACACGUGGGAACGUGCCUUUAGGUUCGGAAUAACUCAGGGAAACUUGUGCUAAUACCGAAUGUGCCCCUCGGGGGAAAGAUUUAUCGCCUUUAGAGCGGCCCGCGUCUGAUUAGCUAGUUGGUGAGGUAAAGGCUCACCAAGGCGACGAUCAGUAGCUGGUCUGAGAGGAUGAUCAGCCACAUUGGGACUGAGACACGGCCCAAACUCCGACGGGAGGCAGCAGUGGGGAAUCUUGCGCAAUGGGCGAAAGCCUGACGCAGCCAUGCCGCGUGAAUGAUGAAGGUCUUAGGAUUGUAAAAUUCUUUCACCGGGGACGAUAAUGACGGUACCCGGAGAAGAAGCCCCGGCUAACUUCGUGCCAGCCGCCGCGGUAACAC
rnacentral:rRNA from 1 species